GUGGUAGAAUAGGAAGAUGUGUGAAGCUCAUUCUUGCAUAUAACUAUUACUUGCCUCAGGACGGCAAAACAUUUUGGGCUAUAUUUCUGCUAAAAGUUGUAAGCACACUACUGAAAACCAUUCUUGAAGGGAAGCUGGCUUAAAAUAUUUUUUCAGUUGUGCCAUUAAUUAUGUAAGAACAUGAAGAAAUUUGAGAGCAGGUAGAACCUUGUGGUUCUAAAGCUUCUUCUUCCUGCGUACAGAAGGAAGUAACCUUACUGGUAAAGACGAGGUGAGAAAAUGUUACGUUUUGGUGUAAAACAUGCUUCCUGGUAGUACUUCUGCCGAAAUCAGAAUUAUGGAGUGGACCUGUGAUGUUCAUUAGUUAUGUAAACUCAUAACCCAAACUCAUAGUAUCUUGUGAGCCCGGCAAACUCGUUAACUUUGGGUUUUUUUUAGACUCACUGGUGCUUUUACUUAUAUUUAAAGAUGGUAAAUACAGAGAGAAUCGGAUAGUUCUUCCUUUGUUCUGCCUCGAUAACAGUUCUGUUGCCUUUUUGCCUAGGGAGUUAGAGAGUAGUCUUGGCCAUUUAACUUGUGUCUUCGGCAUGCCCAUGCAGUGCAACACAUUUUUGCCUCUUGGUUAUUAAGACCGGCCAUAAAAAUCCAUUUUAAAUGGUGACUUAAGAAAUGCAUCCUUGUCAAUAAACAUGAAUUUGUAGCCUUAGUCAUCUUUGAUGAUUAAAAUAUAUGGUUGCGUAACGUAAAAUGGUAUUAAUUAUUCAGUCUAAGUGCUCUAUUCUGAUAUUUUUUUGUACUCAUACACACAUUUUCUCUUCCUAGGUACCUUUUUAAUGCUGAAAUGGACACACUAAUUGUGAGCUGUGUGAGGAAGAACUAAGAAGUCAAGGUUAUUCAACAGAAAUGAAUGAAUACAGCCUGGAAAGGCGUUGAUCCACUGAGGUGACCUGCAGAUGAUUACCCUUCAGCAGAUAAUUACUCAGGAGCCUCUCUUAAAUCAAGAUCAAGCCUGCAAGCGGGCCCCCAUGCAGUAUGACAUGGCCAUCCUGUCUCCUGGCCUAGACAUGGAAGUCAUUCAAUGUGUAGGGGCUUCCUGGAUUUAUUGAAAUCACCCCUGGGAAGUUUACAGAACUGAUGCCAGACACUGCUGCAUGAGCUUUCUUCAGUUGUUUUUUAACACGUUUUGCUAACAGUUUAUCUCUCAGAUUGUGUAAUCUACGCUCUAUAAUUUGCCAUAAACCAUAAAACUCAUAAAAUUGGAAAAAAGAUUCUUAACUAAUUCUUAAUCUGUGGUUUGGCAGACAUACCUUGUGUUCAUUUCUGUCUGUACGAGAGACAGCACUACAGCUCUUAUCCUGACAGAUAAAGGUACAACCACAGUCGUCCC
rnacentral:lncRNA from 1 species